UGAGCAUCUGAAGAGAUGGGAGGUUCUUGCAAGUAGAAGAGGAUACUUUGCAAGGACAAUGGUUGGGGCUCAAAUGCUGCUGAUUCAGCUGGUCAGUGGACAAAAGAGCCCAAUUAAACCACCAAGCUGCAGCAAACGCGCUCAGGAAGGGCCUCAGCACAGGCCUGGAGCACUGAAGAACGUCUCCUCAAUGCGGGCUUUGGGAACAGCCUUCAGGCAGACAGUGAGGCCCCGCACAGCCUCUGCUCCUGGAAAAGCCCUGAAGGCCUGUGCGAUGUGCCCUUGGGAUGAUACUGGGGUCUCCCAAGGCUCCACCCUAGCCCCCGUCUCCUCCUGUUGCGAUCCUAGAGCACAUUGCUUGCAUGUUGCUGAACAGAUGCCCAUCCUGAUCUGGGAUUCAGUAGUGGUCUCCACCACCACCCUUCCCACCAAGCUACUCUGCCACUUCCCUCAAGGGGAGAGACGGGUAGGGGAACUUCGUCUACAGACUGCCUGUCACUUGCCGGGCACCGUGCUGGUUGCUAUAUGAGAAUACCAUUUAAUCCCCGUGUCCACUGCAAGGCAGUCAUUGUCAUACCCAUUUUACAGAUGAGAUUUGCCAAAUAAAGGCAGAGAGCCAGAAUUACAGUUUAAACUCAAGUCUGACUCUUGCAACAACCAUGUUAGUAAUUGUCUAUUAAUCUUUGUUUGGCCUUGUCACCUGGCACAG
rnacentral:lncRNA from 1 species